UACGUAGGGGGCUAGCGUUGUCCGGAUUUAUUGGGCGUAAAGAGCUCGUAGGCGGCUUGUCGCGUCGGAUGUGAAAGCCCGGGGCUUAACUCCGGGUCUGCAUUCGAUACGGGCAGGCUAGAGUUCGGUAGGGGAGAUCGGAAUUCCUGGUGUAGCGGUGAAAUGCGCAGAUAUCAGGAGGAACACCGGUGGCGAAGGCGGAUCUCUGGGCCGAUACUGACGCUGAGGAGCGAAAAGCGUGGGGGAGCGAACAGG
rnacentral:rRNA from 1 species